rnacentral:tRNA from 1 species
GGGGCUAUAGCUCAGCUGGCUAGAGCGCACGAUUCACAUUCGUGAGGCCGUAGGUUCAAGUCCUACUAGCCCCACCA